rnacentral:rRNA from 1 species
CCUACGGGUGGCAGCAGUGGGGAAUAUUGCACAAUGGGCGAAAGCCUGAUGCAGCAACGCCGCGUGAAGGAAGAAGGCUUUCGGCUUGUAAACUUCUAUCAACAGGGACGAAAGAAAUGACGGUUCCUGAAUAAGACGCCUCGGCUAACUACGUGCCAGCAGCCGCGGUACUACGUAGGGGGCAAGCGUUAGCCGGAUUUACUGGGUGUAAAGGGUGAGUAGGCGGCAGGGUAAGUCAGAUGUGAAAGCCUUGGGCUUAACCCGAGGAUUGCAUUUGAAACUGUCAAGCUGGAGUACAGGAGAGGAAAGCGGAAUUCCUAGUGUAGCGGUGAAAUGCGUAGAUAUUAGGAGGAACACCAGUGGCGAAGGCGGCUUUCUGGACUGAAACUGACGCUGAGGCACGAAAGCGUGGGGAGCAAACAGGAUUAGAUACCCCAGUAGUC